AGAAUAUUUCCUUUUUUGGAAACACAAAUAUAGCGGCCUAAAUGGAUUAUGACGUCAUCAUUCAAGCCCCUCGCCUUUUACCGCCGGGAGGGUAUAUUUUUCGCUUUAAAAGCUUUUUCCCGUCGAAUUUUGCAAUUUUAGAGCAGCCAGUGUGUUAGGUCAUCUUUCCAAUAUAUCUCGUGCAAGGCUUCGAAGCGAUGGAAUAAAAAUAUGGAAGAUGAUGUUGACCAUGGCAAAGAAGAUGAAGAUAAGUAAAUAUAUAAGGAUGGACAGAGAGAUCAUUGGAUUUUCUCCUUUGUAUUCCACUGUUAGUGAUAAAAAAAACUUAUACAAUUCUUUUUUUUGAACAUUUGUUUUAUUUGUUCAAGCUAUGUGUUAUUGACUAUUACACUUUUUGAAAGUAUGGUUACAAACUGACCCCCUAGUUCUGUAGCACUGCCAAGAAAAUAGGGGGGACCCCCUUCGUAUUUACAAAGGCAAUGCUUAAAGAACGCUGCUUGGUGGAAAGAUAGUAUGAGAUUAUAUGGCUUUCAACGUUAAUAGAGAUUUGUACCCCAGCCUCUGCUACGGCCCUGCCCCUGGUCCAUGGACCCCUUGUUGAAAAUAGGUUUUCUAGUAAUAACAUGUUUUCUAGCGAGGGAAGGUUUUCUCUACUUUUAGUAUGAUCCGAGUAUAAACCAAGAGCAUGGAUGAAGGUUGGUUAAAAAGUUUCUAUGUAUUAAAUCCCCAGAGCUAACACAGUAUUAUACUUCUGGGUUUUUUAAUUCGCACUAAAACAUAAUAUAAGACACAGCAUAUUGUGCAUUCAAAAGGUGCAAUGGGCUUUUGAAAUGAGAGGGGAUCUAUGAUUAUUUCACAUCACUUUUAUGUAUGGUGCUUGAUUGUUAAAAUUGUAUGAUUGGACAAAUUUUUUCCACUUUUCUCCCAUUUACUCUGACUGAAAAUUUUCUACCAGAAAGAAUUCAAAUCAUUAGAAUUCUGUUGGAAUAAAAUUGUUUAGGAGAAGAAUGAUAAGCUCAUGAAAAUGAUUUGUUUUCUAGACAUAUUGCAUUAUACAUAUGCUGUAAAAACAUUUACAACAUAACAUGUGUCCACUGCAUUUCUUUGGGAUUGAACAUUUUACCAACAGGCUUGUGUAUUUUGGGGGUGGCAAGUUUCCAUCCUUUUUGGGUGUAUGACAUUUUGAGCUCUGUUGGACCAUUCCAUAAUGUUUAUAACUGAAUACUGCCCCCCCUUCCAGCCCACCCCUGGGCAAUUAUCCCUCUAACUUUCAAGGCAUAUAAAUCCUAAGCCCAUUCAGCCUUUCGGCUAUUAAGUCAUAGCCCAUUCAUGCUCUAGGGACAUUGUCAAAUAUUUAAAUUUAAGAGUUAUACAAAAGAUGGGCUGGUUGGUACAAGCCAAGCAAAGAAAAAAUUCAAACUGUGUCUUCUAUUUGUUUUAUUUGAUACUCUGUGUACCACAUGCUUUUUGUGUGUAAGAGAUGAGAUGAUUUAAGCUUAUACCUCUAUUAAGUCAUUAAAACAAAUAUGAAAUACUGUAUGUGUCAAGUCAUUUUCUGCAGUGGCUGAUCCAAGUGUGGUUCUGUGGUCCAAUGGUCCAAUUCUUUUUAAGCACAAAGCUAUUGUAAUAGUUUUCAUAAAUUAAACCACUUUUGAAAAAUUCCAGACCCCCAUUCAGCUUUUAACAGCGCCUGCACAAGGCAAUUUGAAUACUGAAUGUUCGUGAUCGACCGACAAUAUCGGACGGGCUGCAUAACUUAUAUAACUUAUUGAGACUAAACACAACACACCGUAAGACAUGUAUUUAUGCAUGCAUUAUGAGCUUCGGAGGACGCAACGAAAACCAUUUGCAGUACUGAGUAGUCAACUCCAGGGUCAAGAAUCCAUGCCUGCUUGUCCACCGUUAAGUGUGCCUUCGAAUUCCAGUAUAAUUACGCUUCCAAGCUGUAAUUCAAUCGUGAUGACCAUCAUCCUCGCUGUCAUCUAUUGACUAUAGCGAAUCGGACUUUCACACCGAACAUAGCCAUUCGAAAUAUAAAUUUUACCACAUCUUUGCGCCCAAAGGCUUUUCUACAAGUCUUUCAAGUUUUGAUACGCCUAAAACCCUACCAAAAAGCAGAAAGAUUAUGUUUUAUGCUCUUAUUCUCGUCUCUCUAUGGCCGCCAUGGUAUAACGCUCGUAUUUUUCUCAGAUGGAAAGCGACGAAGACAUGUCCGAAGUGCACAGAACACGUUUUCGCAAGCCGAAUAGUUUCUCCCGGAUUUUGAUCUUGUCGGAACGAUCCUUGGAACAACAAGCCGUAAUAUUACGAUUCUAAGUGAAGAAUAAGUUGAGAAGAGAAAGGACGACAGGAUUCUGGAGAACAUGAAAACGAACACGAUGUGGGCUGUUCGUACCUAUCAAGAGUAGGCAGAAGUGAGGCAUUUUAGAACCAGAGCUGUGGCAGGAUCGGAUAGUUUCGUAAGUUUCGAUAGUAUCAAAGGUGUUCUAUUGUAGUGUUGAUGAAGUAAUUAUAGAGGAUGUUUGUAAGGUUGAUGAAGUCAUAAAGAGCCAGAGCGAAAGUGGCAAUAAGCCCCUAAAAUGUCGGGGACAACCAAAUAAACUCACUUAUAUUCUCUUUACUUUAUUUCUUGAUCACAAACUCUCCGUAGUAAUAGUACACUCGCAUCUCAACUCUAGGGGCACAACCCCCUUUUUUACCUAUCUCGAAUUACAACAUGAUCACAUAACAAAACUAAAUAUGUAACGUAAUACAGUAUUAUAAAGUAACGCAAUCUUGCGGGUUUUCUACUUCCGGACAAAAAAGACCUGCAGAUGUAAGAAAUUAAUAGUUGAAGUUUGUCAUUUUUAUGGUCCAAUAGAUUUUGGAAAAUUGUAAAGUUAAGUUCCAAAUGGUUGGGUUUUGAUAUUCAGCAUGGAAGAGUGCAGGUAGUGAAUUGAUUUAAUUGCUCAUUAUAAAUGCAAGGGAUGUAUACGAGCUUCCCCGGGAUGUAUCUAUAUAAAUCCCUUGCAUUUAUAAUGAAAUUCAUCAGCCCCGCUCUUCCCUGCUGAAUAUCAAAACCCUCCCCGGGCUCUUAGCUACUUGCAUAUCAAUGAGGUUUGUACGUGAAAUAAAGCCCUACAGAAAACAA